UACGGGGGGUGCGAGCGUUGUCCGGAAUCACUGGGCGUAAAGGGCGCGUAGGUGGUUUGAUAAGGGUGUGGUGAAAGUCCGGGGCUCAACCCCGGAUCUGCCGUGCCGACUGUCAAACUCGAGGGCUGUAGAGGCAGACGGAAUUCCGGGUGUAGCGGUGGAAUGCGUAGAGAUCCGGAGGAAGACCGGUGGCGAAGGCGGGUCUCUGGGCAGUAACUGACGCUGGAGGCAGCGAAAGCGUGGGGAGCGAACAGG
rnacentral:rRNA from 1 species